UUGCUUUGGCAGCACAUAUACUAAAACUGGAACGAUACAGAGAGAAUUAGCAUGGCCACUGCACAAGGAUGACAUGCAAAUUAGUGAAGUAUACCAUAUUUUU